UGAGUGUUUUGGCAGUAAAAACCAAUUCACGUUUCGGUCGGCCACCUAUUAUAUGCCCAGUAACUGGUAUCCCUGGUGUUCCUUCAAUGCGAGUAUACUAUCCACGUUCUGACGGUAAUGGAUAAUAUAUCUCAUGCGCUCUUUGGUUGAAGCCUUCUGUCCUUCCCCAUUUGAGUAAGAUUCGUUUUCCUUUGCGGAGUCGAAUGUCCAUCCUGUAAGUCGAUUUGCUUUUCAAGCCCUCCUUUCAGAUGAUGAGUGUUUUCGAAGUAAA
rnacentral:lncRNA from 1 species